rnacentral:lncRNA from 10 species
AGUGCAAGACCAGCCUGGCCAACAUGGUGAAACCCCGUCCCUACUAAAAUAAUAAUAAAAAAAAAUUAGCCAGGCAUGGUGGCGGGCACCUGUAAUCCCAGCUACUUGGGAGGCUGAGGUGGGAGAAUUGCUUGAACCCAGGAGUCCGAGGUUGCAAUGAGCCGAGAUCGUGCCAUUGCACUCCAGCCUGGGGGACAAGAGUGAAACUCCAUCUCAAAAAAAGAAAAGAAAACAAAACAAAACAAAAAACAACUUUCCCACCAUACUUAAUGUCUUUCCCAUACUCAUACUGUUAUACUAAGAGACCAACAUACAAAACUAAUUCUAACAUGGUUGAGAAGAUUCAUUCAGCUAGCCUGGGGAACCCAGAUGAGAUUCAGGAGAGAGAAGUUCUAGUGCAGACUUCCUGGAGAAAGAAAAAUCUGGUCAGUCUCCAUUCUACCGGGCCCCGGAGGUAGGGGAGAGAAUUCACACAGACCUGAGGUAUGUAAGGCUCUUUUUGUAAAAUAACAGGUUUCCAGACACACUUUCCCUGCAAUUCCUCAAGAUUAGCAUUAAUUAACUUAUUUCAAUUUAUUAGAGAUGUGAUAGUUAAUUUUAAAAAUCUAGUGAAUUAUUAGUCUCCCAUCAGGCAUGGGGGAAGUGGGAGGUAAUGGAAGUGAGUAUGGAAAAGUUUCAAUAUCAAGGUUAUUUAAUGGGAGACAUAAAAUGCAUAAAAGCCUCUUUAUUAAAUUUUCUUUAACUUUUCAAUGUU